GCGCCGUUAGCUCAGCUGGAUAGAGCGUUGGUCUACGGAACCAAAGGUCAGGAGUUCGAAUCUCUUACGGCGCGCCA
rnacentral:tRNA from 1 species